GAGAGGAAACAGCCCAGAGCAUCGACUAAGGCCCCUAAGCGUACGCUAAGUGGGAAAGGAUGUGGAGUCGCACAGACAACCAGGAGGUUGGCUUAGAAGCAGCCACCCUUGAAAGAGUGCGUAAUAGCUCACUGGUCUAGUGAUUCCGCGCCGACAAUGUAGCGGGGCUCAAGCGUACCGCCGAAGUCGUGUCAUUGCAGCAAUAGGGCCAACGCCUGCUGUGAUGGGUAGGGGAGCGUCGUGUGCCGGGUGAAGCCGCGCCGGAAGGCAGUGGUGGACGGUUCACGAGUGAGAAUGCAGGCAUGAGUAGCGAUACACACGUGAGAAACGUGUGCGCCGAUUGACUAAGGGUUCCUGGGUCAAGCUGAUCUGCCCAGGGUAAGUCGGGACCUAAGGCGAGGCCGACAGGCGUAGUCGAUGGAUAACCGGUUGAUAUUCCGGUACCCGCUGUGAAGCGUCAAACAUUGAACCAGGCGAUGCUAAGUCCGUGAAGCCGCCCUGGAGCCUUCGGGCGAAGGGGAGUGGUGGAGCCGACGGACCAGACCUGUAGUAGGUGAGUGAUGGGGUGACGCAGGAAGGUAGUCCAUCCCGGGCGGUGGUUGUCCCGGGGUAAGGGUGUAGGACGUUGUCCAGGUAAAUCCGGACAGCACAUAGUCUGAGACCUGAUGCCGAGCCGAUUGUGGUGAAGUGGAUGAUCCUAUGCUGUCGAGAAAAGCCUCUAGCGAGUUUCAUGGCGGCCCGUACCCUAAACCGACUCAGGUGGUCAGGUAGAGAAUACCGAGGCGUUCGGGUGAACUAUGGUUAAGGAACUCGGCAAAAUGCCCCCGUAACUUCGGGAGAAGGGGGGCCAUCACCGGUGAUGAGUCUUGCACUCUGAGCUGGGGGUGGCCGCAGAGACCAGCGAGAAGCGACUGUUUACUAAAAACACAGGUCCGUGCGAAGCCGUAAGGCGAUGUAUACGGACUGACGCCUGCCCGGUGCUGGAACGUUAAGGGGACCGGUUAGUCACUCUUCGGGGUGCGAGC
rnacentral:rRNA from 1 species